rnacentral:rRNA from 1 species
CACGAACGCUGGCGGCAGGCUUAACACAUGCAAGUCGAGCGCCCCGCAAGGGGAGCGGCAGACGGGUGAGUAACGCGUGGGAAUCUACCCAUCUCUACGGAAUAACGCAUGGAAACGUGUGCUAAUACCGUAUACGUCCUUCGGGAGAAAGAUUUAUCGGAGAUGGAUGAGCCCGCGUUGGAUUAGCUAGUUGGUGGGGUAAAGGCCUACCAAGGCGACGAUCCAUAGCUGGUCAGAGAGGAUGAUCAGCCACACUGGGACUGAGACACGGCCCAGACUCAUACGGGAGGCAGCAGUGGGGAAUAUUGGACAAUGGGCGCAAGCCUGAUCCAGCCAUGCCGCGUGAGUGAUGAAGGCCCUAGGGUUGUAAAGCUCUUUCACCGGUGAAGAUAAUGACGGUAACCGGAGAAGAAGCCCCGGCUAACUUCGUGCCAGCCGCCGCGGUAAAAC